GACGAACGCUGGCGGCGUGCCUAACACAUGCAAGUCGAACGGAAACGCCCUGCUUUUGUGGGCUGCUCGAGUGGCGAACGGGGGAGUAACACGUGAGUAACCUGCCCUUGACUUUGGGAUAACUUCAGGAAACGGGGGCUAAUACCGGAUAGGAGCUCCCGCUGCAUGGUGGGGGGUGGAUAGUUUCGGCGGGUGGGGAUGGACUCGCGGCUUAUCGGCUUGUUGGUGGGGUAGUGGAUUACCAAGGCAUUGACGGGUAGCCGGCCGGGGAGGGUGACCGGCCACGUUGGGCCUGAGAUACGGCCCAGACUCCUACGGUAGGCAGCGGUGGGGAGUAUUGCACAGUGGGCGGGAGCCUGAUGCGGCAACGCCGCGUGUGGGAAGACGGCCUUCGGGUUGUGAACCGCUUUCGCCUGUGACGAAGCGUGAGUGACGGUAAUGGGUGAAGAAGCACCGGCUAACUACGUG
rnacentral:rRNA from 1 species